rnacentral:rRNA from 1 species
GCCUACGGGGGGCUGCAGUGGGGAAUAUUGGACAAUGGGGGCAACCCUGAUCCAGCCAUGCCGCGUGUGUGAAGAAGGCCCUCGGGUUGUAAAGCACUUUCAGUGAGGAAGAACGCCUGGUGGUUAAUACCCAUCAGGAAAGACAUCACUCACAGAAGAAGCACCGGCUAACUCCGUGCCAGCAGCCGCGGUAAUACGGAGGGUGCGAGCGUUAAUCGGAAUUACUGGGCGUAAAGCGCGCGUAGGUGGCUGGAUAAGCCGGUUGUGAAAGCCCCGGGCUCAACCUGGGAACGGCAUCCGGAACUGUCAAGCUAGAGUGCAGGAGAGGAAGGUAGAAUUCCCGGUGUAGCGGUGAAAUGCGUAGAGAUCGGGAGGAAUACCAGUGGCGAAGGCGGCCUUCUGGACUGACACUGACACUGAGGUGCGAAAGCGUGGGUAGCAAACAGGAUUAGAUACCCUGGUAGUCCCU